UACCAGCACCCCGAGUGGUCGGGACGUUUAUUGGGCCUAAAGCAUCCGUAGCCGGUUCUACAAGUCUUCCGUUAAAUCCACAUGCUUAACAGAUGGGCUGCGGAAGAUACUAUAGAGCUAGGAGGCGGGAGAGGCAAGCGGUACUCGAUGGGUAGGGGUAAAAUCCGUUGAUCCAUUGAAGACCACCAGUGGCGAAGGCGGCUUGCCAGAACGCGCUCGACGGUGAGGGAUGAAAGCUGGGGGAGCAAACCGG
rnacentral:rRNA from 1 species